AAAGUGCGAAAUUUCAUGAGAAACGCAGCCGCCGCGAAACAUCGAGUCUUUGAACGCAUCCUGCGCUCGUCAAAGAAGGGGCAACCUGGACAUGACUGAGCAUACUCGGUUGAGAGUGCGAAACCAUGAACCAACCAAACACUUCUUGAUUGCAAGAGUCAGCUUUGUGCUUGUCUUGUGAAUCAAAUCAGGUCAGUUUGCGAUGCCAGUUCUCACUUGAAAAAGUCAGACUUGGCCAUGCAGCGCUGUCCAACAAACACCAAGAGGCACAUCAACUCGAGUAAGAAAACCCGCUGAAUUGAA
rnacentral:misc_RNA from 1 species